GAUGAACGCUGGCGGCGUGCCUAAUACAUGCAAGUCGAGCGAACGGACGAGAAGCUUGCUUCUCUGAUGUUAGCGGCGGACGGGUGAGUAACACGUGGAUAACCUACCUAUAAGACUGGGAUAACUUCGGGAAACCGGAGCUAAUACCGGAUGAUAUUUUGAACCGCAUGGUUCAAAAGUGAAAGACGGUCUUGCUGUCACUUAUAGAUGGAUCCGCGCUGCAUUAGCUAGUUGGUAAGGUAACGGCUUACCAAGGCAACGAUGCAUAGCCGACCUGAGAGGGUGAUCGGCCACACUGGAACUGAGACACGGUCCAGACUCCUACGGGAGGCAGCAGUAGGGAAUCUUCCGCAAUGGGCGAAAGCCUGACGGAGCAACGCCGCGUGAGUGAUGAAGGUCUUCGGAUCGUAAAACUCUGUUAUUAGGGAAGAACAUAUGUGUAAGUAACUGUGCACAUCUUGACGGUACCUAUCAGAAAGCCACGGCUAACUACGU
rnacentral:rRNA from 1 species